rnacentral:rRNA from 1 species
GAGAAGACAUUGUGUCUUCGAGUCGUUGAUUUCACACUGCCGAGAAAAGCCUCUAGAUAGAAAAUAGGUGCCCGUACCGCAAACCGACACAGGUAGUCAAGAUGAGAAUUCUAAGGUGAGCGAGCGAACUCUCGUUAAGGAACUCGGCAAAAUGACCCCGUAACUUCGGGAGAAGGGGUGCUCUUUAGGGUUAACGCCCAGAAGAGCCGCAGUGAAUAGGCCCAAGCGACUGUUUAUCAAAAACACAGGUCUCUGCUAAACCGUAAGGUGAUGUAUAGGGGCUGACGCCUGCCCGGUGCUGGAAGGUUAAGAGGAGUGGUUAGCUUCUGCGAAGCUACGAAUCGAAGCCCCAGUAAACGGCGGCCGUAACUAUAACGGUCCUAAGGUAGCGAAAUUCCUUGUCGGGUAAGUUCCGACCCGCACGAAAGGCGUAACGAUUUGGGCACUGUCUCAACGAGAGACUCGGUGAAAUCAUAGUACCUGUGAAGAUGCAGGUUACCCGCGACAGGACGGAAAGACCCCGUGGAGCUUUACUGUAGCCUGAUAUUGAAAUUCGGCACAGCUUGUACAGGAUAGGUAGGAGCCUUUGAAACGUGAGCGCUAGCUUACGUGGAGGCGCUGGUGGG